rnacentral:rRNA from 1 species
AGUCAGAUUGCUAAGACAGCUAGGAUGUUGGCUUGGAAGCAGCCAUUCAUUUAAAGAGUGCGUAACAGCUCACUAGUCGAGGAAUUUGGCGUGGAUAAUAAUCGGGUAUGAAGUUGUCUGCCGAAGCCGUGGAACCAGCAAUGGUUGGUAGGGGAGCAUUCCAUUCUGCGUCGAAGGCGUGGCGCGAGCCACUCUGGAGCGUAUGGAAAAGCAAAUGUAGGUAUAAGUAACGAUAAAG